ACACUAUUUUUUACCAAAACACACAAAUUCUUGAAAAAAAAAUAUCUUUUGCUAAUACUUUAAGAGUCUGCACAAUCUUUAUUGUUAUGAUUGAGGUUAUACUAUAGAAAAUACGUAUACUAUUGUCAUCCUUAUUUAAGCGUUUAAUUAGCUCCAUUUGAAGCUUAUGGUUCAGGUUCAACGUUGAAAUUAUAUAACACAGGAUAGCGGUGAGUUGAUCGCCUAUGUGAAAAUAUCUCAGAUUUUAGAGUUUUCUUCAAAAAAAAAAGUACUACUUCAAUGUGGUGGUUGGAGACUGAUGUAUGUUUCUCAUUUUCAUAGCAUCUAUAUAGUUGGUACAACUUAGUUCUCUUCCCUCUUUGCAAAUUCGUAGUUAGUGGUGGUUGUGACGAUGACAGAUACUUCUGGUUUGCACAAUUGUGAUUCUCGGUACACACUAUAAUUUACUUCUCUGCGUGCUAUUCUGCAUCAUUGGUAAGGUGGCUUUGCUCCUCUAAAAUUUUAUCUCAUAAUCCUAUGUUUUUGGCUUGCCAUGGUAUUUAAUUCUUCUGAUUUUCGUUCAACUUUGUGUUUCAAGGUAAAUAAAAAAUUUAGGGUUCUUGUUCAGCAAAUUCUUUGCCUCGUUUCUUGCGAAAAAUACAAAUCCUUUGUAUUUAUGCUCGAUUAAUUACUAUGAUUACUUAUUAUGGUAGGUUGUUUCUGUGAUGAUUAGUUCUUUGAUCUCAUAAUCCUGUAUUUAUGGCUUGCCAUGGUAUUUACUAUUUCUUAUUUUUGUUCAAUUGUGUUUCAAGGAAAAUCAAUUAGGUAUUUAGGGUUCUUGUUCAACAGAUUUUUUGCCCCAUUUCUUGGGGAAAAUAAAAAUCCUUUGUAUUUGUUCUCAAAUAAUUACUAUGAUUACUUAUUAUGGUAAGUUGUCUUUGUGAUGUUUAGUUCUUUGAUUUUCAUGUCAUUUGUAUUUUCUUUUUGUUUUCUUGAAUAUGGUGCACCAUGUGGUCAGUAUGCUCAUUGCUGGUUUCGGUUAUCAUGAGGUGAUUCUUCCUUCUUUAUGUUUUAAAAGCAAGGGGUUUCUACCUACUACUUGAAUAGACAUGAUUUCUAUUCAAUUUAGUUUCUGAAUUGUGAAUGAAUUGCUUUCUCAUUUCUUAUAGAAUGUUUAUUUUUAUAUUCUCUUUGAUAAGAUAGUUUCCUAGAAGUUUUAUAUAUCAGUCAGCCUUUCUUUCUUGUUUGUAUGCUUUUUUUGUGCAUUGUUUUUUAUCAACUCUUAGGAUAUUCUUUUACAUAGUUAACUUUUAUUUACCGAGAUCUUUUGUAGGGUAUGUUGUAGCUUACUUUUAUUGGAUAAAAUAUUAGUAAAAUUAUUGCUGGGUAUUGUUAUACAGGGAUUUCCAUGUAUAUAAUUUUUUUAUCUUUUCUAAAAAAUCUUGGAUAGUUAUUCUUAUUAUUAUACAUUUUUCAGUUUUCUUUCUCCUUAAUGUUUUAGUCUUCUGUUUCCUAUUUGUUGUUUAGCUCAUUUUUUAGUUAUUAUUGUUCUAUAAUUUUCAUAUAGAUUAAUUAUGUGUUUUUUCUUGUUUCAUUCUUUUUCUUUCAAUUUCUGAAUUCAACCAAAUCAACUCAUUCAUAAUUUAAAUCAUACUAUUCUGUGUAGUACGUCAACAGUUAUUAUCAAAUCAAUAGACUCUAAAUUUGGUGGUAGUUGGUGACUGGUGAACGUCAACUUCAUGAUUUAACCCUAGAGAUGGUCUUUCUUUUCUCUUCCCAUAUGUGUUCUGAUUUUGUAGAUUGUAUUUCUUCUUAUUUGAAGACUUCUUUUAAGGGCUAUGUAUAGCCUAUAUGUUUACAGCGAUAUGUCUUGUUUUUCCUCUAUCAUCUUUUUUUUUUAAUUCAAAUUUCAACUUCUUCUGACAAUUUGUCUAUAAAAGGAGAGUGCAGUUGAGUAUGUUGUGUAUAAGUUCCUUUUCGUUAUACAUUAUCUGCUGUGUUUAUCUUUUUUAGCCUAUUCUUAUCAUCUUUCUUGCUACUUUCUAUUUGCUUUGCAUCCUCCUUUUGAUAUGAUUUCUAAGCUUCUAUGGAGGCAUGAAGACUGAGAGUAAGGGUGUUAAGGCUAUGGGUUGUUCACUUAUUUGGAAAUCACGAUGUACCUAAUUCAAUGGAAAUGAUUUUGGUUGAUGAGAAUGUGAGGAUUUGUUCGAAUUAUUUUUUUUAUGCAUGAUUUUCUUCCUUUGCUUUGUUCAUGUUUCUUUUGCUUCAGUCAUAUCCUUUGUGUUAUUUUUUACAAUGUAAUUUUUGUUCUUUGUAAUUUAAUUUGUUGUGUUUUGAGUUUUAUUUUUCAACAUAGAUGGAAAUAAAAAGAUUGUAUGCUUUUUAGACUAAUAUAUUUUCGCAUGUGUUAAAUUUUCAAGGUACAAAAGUUCAGGCCACAGUGAAAAAAUAUUUAAUCAAUAGGUUUAAGGAGCAUAUUAUUGAGGGUCAUGUUUAUCGAAUGUCAUACUUUAGUGUUGUGGAAAAUGUAGGUAGUUAUUACAGGGUUACCAAUAAUGAAUACAAGCUAGUUUUUCUUAAUCAUGCUGUUGUUAUCAAUGUUUCUGAUGAUAACAUAAUAGCUAAGGCUUGUUUUAGCUUUUUUCCUUUGUUGAGCUUUUGAAAAUGACUGAAGGCUAUAACUACUUAAUUGGUAUGUUCUUCUUUUCUUUACUAUUCUUUCAUCUGAUGUGUUUGUAUAUUUUUUGUGGUACUUAAAUAUUUUUUUUGCACUUUUUGUUAGAUAUUAUUGGUCUUCUAAUUUCUGUGGGUGAAGAGAAAUAGUAUUCCAAAGAUGGCAAAAUUGUAAAGAUGAUUGUUAUUGAAUUGGCUUCAAAAGAGACAAGUUGGUUUUCGAAAUGUGAUGCAUGCUACUCAAAUCUUAUUUAAUCCUGACAUAUCUGAAGCAGUUGAGUUUAAGAAGAGCCUUGUGAUUGUGUCACUUUUUUUUAUCAACAAGGAUUUCAAUUAGUCCUCAACAUAUGCAAGACAUUGAAUUUGAUAUGGAUGCUUUAAGUGCUGCACAUGAUAUUGUGAAACUAGUGCGCUCUUACUUAUCAUUCUUUUUUUUCUUUUUUAUUUGUUCAUUUUGUAUAAAUUCAUUUGCAACCUCAGUUUCUUAUUCUUCUUUAUUUUUUAUUAUUUAAUACAAAUUUGGUUUAAACUUAGUAUUCAUAUGUAUAAAAGGUUGGAACAAUCUCAAGUAUUGCUCAUGAUACUCCAUGGUGGUAUUCAAUUUAUUUAUGUGGCGAAAAGAUUAAUGUUGGGCAUUCUUUCUCAUUUUGUGGACUUUGCUUAACUCAUGCUUCUGAUGAUAUACCAACGUCAAUUUAUGUUUUAUGCUAUUUUUUCUUUGUCAUUGUUUUUUAUUCAGGAUUAUUAUCUAUAUUGAAUGAAAUAAUUAAUAAUACUUCAAUUAUAUUCAUUAAUUUACUAUUGAUU